rnacentral:rRNA from 1 species
GCAUAUCAAUAAGCGGAGGAAAAGAAACUAACUAGGAUUCCCUUAGUAACGGCGAGUGAACCGGGAUGAGCUCAAAUUUAAAAUCUGGCGUCUUUCAGGCGUCCGAGUUGUAAUCUAUAGAGGCGUUUUCCGCGCCGGACCGCGUCCAAGUCUCUUGGAAUAGAGUAUCAAAGAGGGUGACAAUCCCGUACUUGACGCGACAACCGGUGCUCUUGAUAC